UGAGAACGAUAAACAGUACCUCGUGUAUGUGUCUAGUGGGGUGUUACAAUGCAAAUUGCGCAUUUAGAGCGCAAUAUCACCGAGAGAAAAUUGCAGGCGAAAUAUCCGUCUCCUGCGAGCAGGCUACACGGAGCUAUUCGGUUCUCUGAUCUCAAACUCGGUGAUAGCAUUUUUAGAGAUUUAUUAAGCGAUUGAAACGGGUUAACACAGUUUCGGAUCCCAGAGGACUUUCAUUCGGGGUUGAGCCACUGUUACUGAAAGUCACGCUGCUGCUGGUCUCGCUCUCGUCUCUCGUAAAUUUCGAAGCGAUACCCUGAAACACAAUCCGAAAUUCAGCAACAGCCAAGGCAUUCUCCAAGGAAUAUAUUAAACUGUGUCUGUGAUCCUUGACGUCAGUCUCGUGCCACUCAUACCGAUCCAUAUCACUUAUUGAUUUCUUUCUCCGUUUUUUCUUGCAAUAUACAAUAUAAUGUAAAAUGCUUAAUUCGAUAAUAAAGUUAACAUAAAAUUAUAAA